AUUGAACGCUGGCGGCAGGCCUAACACAUGCAAGUCGAGCGGCAGCGGGAAGUAGCUUGCUACUUUGCCGGCGAGCGGCGGACGGGUGAGUAAUGUCUGGGAAACUGCCUGAUGGAGGGGGAUAACUACUGGAAACGGUAGCUAAUACCGCAUAACGUCGCAAGACCAAAGAGGGGGACCUUCGGGCCUCUUGCCAUCAGAUGUGCCCAGAUGGGAUUAGCUAGUAGGUGGGGUAAUGGCUCACCUAGGCGACGAUCCCUAGCUGGUAUGAGAGGAUGACCAGCCACACUGGAACUGAGACACGGUCCAGACGCCUACGGGAGGCAGCAGUGGGGAAUAUUGCACAAUGGGCGCAAGCCUGAUGCAGCCAUGCCGCGUGUAUGAAGAAGGCCUUCGGGUUGUAAAGUACUUUCAGCGGGGAGGAAGGUGUUGAGGUUAAUAACCUCAGCAAUUGACGUUACCCGCAGAAGAAGCACCGGCUAACUCCGUGCCAGCCGCCGCCGUAA
rnacentral:rRNA from 1 species